rnacentral:lncRNA from 10 species
CUUCUUUCAACGAAGUUUCACUCUUGUCGCACAGGCUGGAGUGCACUGGUCUGAUCUUAGCUUACUGCAGCCUCCACCUCCCAGGUUUAAGUGAUUCUCCUGCCUCAGCCUCCCAAGUAGCUGGGAUUACAGGCACCUGCCACCACGCCCAGCUAGUAGAGACGGUUUUCGCCAUGUUGGCCAGGCUGGUCUUGAACUGACCUCAACUGACCCGCCCACCUCGGCCUCCCAAAGUGCUGGGAUUACAGGCGUGAGCCACCGGGUCCAGCCGACAACCGCGUUUCUACUGUGUCCCCACAUGGCCUUUUCUCGGUGUGUGAAAAUCCCUAGUGUCUUUCUUUUCCAAUUAUUCUAUAAUGAAUAUGUAUUUAUAACAAAAAUAAACCUUUUUUUAGAAAAGAACAUAUUUUUCCAAAUAUACAAUGAUGUGAAAAAUUUAUUUUGUAUCAUGCUUACAAAAACAGAACAUAAAAUUUUAGGAAUAGUAUGAUUUCUACAAAUGUUAAAUAAAAACAUAGAGAAAGGGCUAGGCACAGUGGCUCAUGCCUGUAAUCCCAGCACUUUGGGAGGCCGAGGCGGGUGGAUCACUUGAGGUCAGGAAUUUGAGACCAGCCUGGCCAACAUGGUGGAACCCCAUCUCUACCAAAAAUACAAAAAUUAGCCAGGCAUGGUGGCGAGUACCU